UUAAAUAGCCGCAGUAUUUUGACUGUGCGAAGGUAGCAUAAUCAUUUGUCUUUUAAUUGAAGGCUUGUAUGAAUGGUUGGAUGAGGGAAUGACUUUCUUUACAUUAAAUAUUGAAUUUAAUAUUUCAGUUAAAAAGCUGGGAUUUUUAAGUGGGACGAGAAGACCCUAUAGAAUUUUACUUUGAUUGUUAUAAGUAUUAAAUUGUUAAUAUCAAAUACUUACAUAUUAUGGAGUUUUGUUGGGGUGACAAUGGGAUUUAUUUAACUCCCAUAUAUUUUUAUUUAUUAAUUUAUAUAUUAUAGAUCCCGUUUUAAGGAUAGUUAGAUUAAAUUACCUUAGGGAUAACAGCGUAAUUUUUUUGGAGAGUUCAUAUCAAUAGAAAAGUUUGCGACCUCGAUGUUGGAUUAAAAUUAGAUUUAAGUGCAGCAGCUUAAAUUUCUAGGUCUGUUCGACCUUUAAAUUUUUACAUGAUCUGAGUUCAAACCGGAUUAAAUAG
rnacentral:rRNA from 1 species